UACGUAGGGAGCAAGCGUUGUUCGGAUUUACUGGGCGUAAAGGGCGCGUAGGCGGCAAAUUAAGUCAGCUGUGAAAUCUCCGAGCUUAACUCGGAACGGUCAGCUGAUACUGAUCUGCUAGAGUGCGGAAGGGGCAAUCGGAAUUCUUGGUGUAGCGGUGAAAUGCGUAGAUAUCGGAAGGAACACCUGUGGCGAAAGCGGCGCACUGGACCACAACUGACGCUGAGGCGCGAAAGCUAGGGGAGCAAACAGG
rnacentral:rRNA from 1 species